AUGAAUACCAACGGCUCUGAUGG
rnacentral:piRNA from 1 species